GGUUUGAUUCUGGCUCAGAUUGAACGCUGGCAGGAUGCUUUACGCAUGCAAGUCGAACGGCAGCACGGACUUCGGUCUGGUGGCAGGUGGCGAACGGGUGAGUAAUGUAUCCGGGCAGUGCCCUAGUAGCGGGGGAUAACUACGCGAAAGCGUAGCUAAUACCGCAUACGCCCUUCGGGGAAAAGCAGGGGACCUUCGGGCCUCGCACUAUUAGAGCGGCCGAUAUCGGAUUAGCUAGUUGGUGGGGUAACGGCUCACCAAGGCGACGAUCCGUAGCUGGUUUGAAGGACGACCAGCCACACUGGGACUGAGACACGGCCCAGACUCCUACGGGAGGCAGCAGUGGGGAAUUUUGGACAAUGGGAAACCUGAUCCAGCCAUCCCGCGUGUGCGAUGAAGGCCUUCGGGUUGUAAAGCACUUUUGGCAGGAAAGAAACGGCACGGGAUAAUACCCCGUGCAACUGACGGUACCUGCAGAAUAAGCACCGUACGUGCCAGCAGCCGCGGUAAUACGUAGGGUGCAAGCGUUAAUCGGAAUUACUGGGCGUAAAGCGUGCGCAGGCGGUUCGGAAAGAAGAUGUGAAAUCCCAGAGCUUAACUUUGGAACUGCAUUUUUAACUACCGAGCUAGAGUGUCAGAGGAGGUGGAAUUCCGCGUGUAGCAGUGAAAUGCGUAGAUAUGCAGGAGGAACACCGAUGGCAGAAGGCAGCCUCCUGGAUAACACUGACGCUCAUGCACGAAAGCGUGGGAGCAAACAGGAUUAGAUACCCUGGUAGUCCACGCCCUAAACGAUGUCAACUAGCUGUUGGGGCCUUCGGGCCUUGGUAGCGCAGCUAACGCGUGAAGUUGACCGCCUGGGAGGUACGGUCACCCAAGAUUAAAACUCAAAGGAAUUGACGGGGACCCGCACAAGCGGUGGACGAUGUGGAUUAAUUCGAUGCAACGCGAAAAACCUUACCUACCCUUGACAUGUCUGGAAUCCCGAAGAGAUUUGGGAGUGCUCGCAAGGGAACCGGAACACAGGUGCUGCAUGGCUGUCGUCAGCUCGUGCCGUGAGAUGUUGGGUUAAGUCCGCAACGGGCGCAACCCUUGUCAUUAGUUGCUACGAAAGGGCACUCUAAUGAGACUGCCGGUGACAAACCGGAGGAAGGUGGGGAUGACGUCAAGUCCUCAUGGCCCUUAUGGGUAGGGCUUCACACGUCAUGCAAUGGUCGGGACAGAGGGUCGCCAACCGGAGGCCCGGUCGGAGGCGGUCGUGGUCGGAUCGCAGUCGCUCGACUGCGUGAAGUCGGAAUCGCUAGUAAUCGCGGAUCAGCAUGUCGCGGUGAAUACGUUCCCGGGUCUUGUACACACCGCCCGUCACACCAUGGGAGUGGGUUUUACCAAGUAGUUAGCCUAACCGUAAGAGGGCGAUUACCACGGUAGGAUUCAUGACUGGGGUGAAGUCGUAACAAGGUAG
rnacentral:rRNA from 1 species